UACGUAGGGGGCAAGCGUUAUCCGGAUUUACUGGGUGUAAAGGGAACGUAGACGGAAUUGCAAGUCUGAUGUGAAAAUCCGGGGCCCAACCCCGGAACUGCAUUGGAAACUGUAUUUCUAGAGUGUCGGAGAGGCAAGUGGAAUUCCUGGUGUAGCGGUGAAAUGCGUAGAUAUCAGGAGGAACACCAGUGGCGAAGGCGGCUUGCUGGACGAUGACUGACGUUGAGGCUCGAAAGCGUGGGGAGCAAACAGG
rnacentral:rRNA from 1 species